rnacentral:rRNA from 1 species
ACUUCCGUUAAUUGAUUAUGACGUGCUUGCACUGAAUGAGAUUUUAACACGAAGUGAGUGGCGGACGGGUGAGUAACACGUGGGUAACCUGCCCAGAAGCAGGGGAUAACACCUGGAAACAGAUGCUAAUACCGUAUAACAGAGAAAACCGCCUGGUUUUCUUUUAAAAGAUGGCUCUGCUAUCACUUCUGGAUGGACCCGCGGCGCAUUAGCUAGUUGGUGAGGUAACGGCUCACCAAGGCGAUGAUGCGUAGCCGACCUGAGAGGGUAAUCGGCCACAUUGGGACUGAGACACGGCCCAGACUCCUACGGGAGGCAGCAGUAGGGAAUCUUCCACAAUGGACGCAAGUCUGAUGGAGCAACGCCGCGUGAGUGAAGAAGGGUUUCGGCUCGUAAAGCUCUGUUGUUAAAGAAGAACGUGGGUGAGAGUAACUGUUCACCCAGUGACGGUAUUUAACCAGAAAGCCACGGCUAACUACGUGCCAGCAGCCGCGGUAAUACGUAGGUGGCAAGCGUUAUCCGGAUUUAUUGGGCGUAAAGCGAGCGCAGGCGGUCUUUUAAGUCUAAUGUGAAAGCCUUCGGCUCAACCGAAGAAGUGCAUUGGAAACUGGGAGACUUGAGUGCAGAAGAGGACAGUGGAACUCCAUGUGUAGCGGUGAAAUGCGUAGAUAUAUGGAAGAACACCAGUGGCGAAGGCGGCUGUCUGGUCUGUAACUGACGCUGAGGCUCGAAAGCAUGGGUAGCGAACAGGAUUAGAUACCCUGGUAGUCCAUGCCGUAAACGAUGAUUACUAAGUGUUGGAGGGUUUCCGCCCUUCAGUGCUGCAGCUAACGCAUUAAGUAAUCCGCCUGGGGAGUACGACCGCAAGGUUGAAACUCAAAAGAAUUGACGGGGGCCCGCACAAGCGGUGGAGCAUGUGGUUUAAUUCGAAGCUACGCGAAGAACCUUACCAGGUCUUGACAUCUUCUGCCAACCUAAGAGAUUAGGCGUUCCCUUCGGGGACAGAAUGACAGGUGGUGCAUGGUUGUCGUCAGCUCGUGUCGUGAGAUGUUGGGUUAAGUCCCGCAACGAGCGCAACCCUUAUUACUAGUUGCCAGCAUUCAGUUGGGCACUCUAGUGAGACUGCCGGUGACAAACCGGAGGAAGGUGGGGACGACGUCAAAUCAUCAUGCCCCUUAUGACCUGGGCUACACACGUGCUACAAUGGAUGGUACAACGAGUCGCGAAACCGCGAGGUUUAGCUAAUCUCUUAAAACCAUUCUCAGUUCGGACUGUAGGCUGCAACUCGCCUACACGAAGUCGGAAUCGCUAGUAAUCGCGGAUCAGCAUGCCGCGGUGAAUACGUUCCCGGGCCUUGUACACACCGCCCGUCACACCAUGAGAGUU